rnacentral:rRNA from 1 species
CCGAAUUCGUCGACAACAGAGUUUGAUCCUGGCUCAGGACGAACGCUGGCGGCGUGCCUAAUACAUGCAAGUCGAGCGGAUCUUCAUUAGCUUGCUUUUGAAGAUCAGCGGCGGACGGGUGAGCAACACGUGGGCAACCUGCCUGUAAGACUGGGAUAACUUCGGGAAACCGGAGCUAAUACCGGAUAAUCCUUUCCCUCACAUGAGGGAAAGCUGAAAGACGGUUUCGGCUGUCACUUACAGAUGGGCCCGCGGCGCAUUAGCUAGUUGGUGAGGUAACGGCUCACCAAGGCAACGAUGCGUAGCCGACCUGAGAGGGUGAUCGGCCACACUGGGACUGAGACACGGCCCAGACUCCUACGGGAGGCAGCAGUAGGGAAUCUUCCGCAAUGGACGAAAGUCUGACGGAGCAACGCCGCGUGAACGAUGAAGGCUUUCGGGUCGUAAAGUUCUGUUGUUAGGGAAGAACAAGUACCGGAGUAACUGCCGGUACCUUGACGGUACCUAACCAGAAAGCCACGGCUAACUACGUGCCAGCAGCCGCGGUAAUACGUAGGUGGCAAGCGUUGUCCGGAAUUAUUGGGCGUAAAGCGCGCGCAGGCGGUUCCUUAAGUCUGAUGUGAAAGCCCCCGGCUCAACCGGGGAGGGUCAUUGGAAACUGGGGAACUUGAGUGCAGAAGAGGAGAGCGGAAUUCCAC